AGUCACUCCCACCCCAAAGCCAGGGAAACAUCAUCUUGUCACCUCUGGAUUUCUCCUCACCCCCUUGGGUUAAAGCUGAGCAGACAGGGUGGCACUUCUGAAUUCAGAGGCUGCAAUGAGCUGAGAAAAACAAGCAUCUGUGGCCCCCUCCAGGACCCACCAAGUAGAGGGGAUGUUGCCCCGGGUGCUGCAGGAGGUGGGAAGGGGACUCCAAGGAAGUUGUCCUCCCUAGAGAGUCCAUCAGCAAAUUGUCUCAUGUAGCCAUAACAGCCAGGAGCAAGGCAGGGAAGGAGGGUUUUGUCUAAGGAAAACCAGUGUAUUGUAAACAGGAUAAAAGGGGCUGGAAAGCCCCACUUAUCACUGACUAAUAUGUCCCCAGGUCAUCGGGGAGCUGGACCCCUACCAGCAGCCCUGAGGAGGGAAAGAAUUCCCGAUUAACCCCAUCACCUGUGAGCUGGGCCAGGGCAAAGGUCUGGCUUUUUCUCUUGCUAAAUGAUUCCCAUGGUCAUUAGGCAUUCGCAGGGCUCAGCAGCAUUUCUAGGAAGCCCUCCCAGACUAGAGAAAUGCCUUCUGCACCCGCUGCUCUUUGGGGCCAUACGGAGCAGGGAGUAGGUGUGCACAUCCUUGGGACAGCAGGAGAGGAGGUGUGAGGAAGGCAGAGGUGGCAUGAGGCUAGGGGAAGCUGCAGGGGGAGGAUGGUGGUCUUCUGGUCAAUCGUGGGUGUGGAACAGACUUGUGUGUCACAUCAAGCGAUGGGGGUUGGCCUAGUGUAGACUUGAGGGGCUGGCUGAGAGAUUGGUCACUCUGGGCUCUCACUAAUAAUGAUCUCAUUCAUUCCUUACGAGCUCCUCAUAUCCAGGUAUCUUAAUUUAUAUUUAUUUAUUUUAUUUAUUUUGAGACGGAGUCUCAUUCUGUCACCCAGGCUAGAGUGCAGUGGCGUGAUCUCGGCUUACUGCAACCUCUGCCUACCAGUUCAAGCGAUUCUCCUGCCUCAGCCUCCUGAGUAGCUGGGACUACAGGCGUGUGCCACCAUGCCCGGCUAAUUUUUAUAUUUUUAAGUUGAGACGGGGUUUUACCAUGUUGGCCAGACUGGUCUUGAACCCCUGACCUCAGGUGAUCCACCCACCUUGGCCUCCCAAAGUGCUGAGAUUACAGGCGUGAGCCACAGUGCCCAGCUAUCUUAAUUUGCAGAUGAGAAACAACACUGAGACUCAGCCGGGUUACGUAAAACAUCCAAAGCUAUGCAGCAGGCUGAUGGCCAGCUGAGACCUAAAUUUAGGCCUCACUGACUCCUACCUUGGGCAUGUAAGCACCAGUUGGAUCAGAUACACCAGGGAAACUGAGGCCCAGAAAGGGAUGUGAUCUGCCCGAUUGUGCAGAAUUCAGAGCCCAGCUGGAACCUGAAUGUCCUGACCCCCCAUCCAGUGCCCCCCUUCCUACUCUAUGCUGCCUCUCGGGUGACACACACAGCAGCAAGUGAGCCCUGCAGACAGAGACAUUCUAGAACCCAGGCCUGGGACCAGUGCUCAGGAGCCAUACUCUCAGCUAGAUUGCCUUCAGCCUGCCAGGAGGAGGAGCAGCCCAGUCCAGACUGAAAGCCUCCAAGGAGGAAGUUCUACCGGCUUCUCCAUGCCUCCAAACCCACUGUACCUUGUGCAUUCCAUCUGGAAUUUUCUUCUGUUGAAAGGAAGGUGCUGGGUGGGAGGAGGAGGGAGAGGAUCAGGAAAAAUAACUAAUAAAUACUAGGCUUAAUAUCUGA
rnacentral:lncRNA from 1 species